CAAAGUGGUUUUCGGAAAGGCAGAUCUACAAUAGAUGCCCUAGUGAAAGUUAGUAAUGAAUCUGAAAAAGCAAUUAGCAUGAAAGAGGUCAUGGUUAUAGUAUACUUUGAUAUAGAGAAAGCAUAUGACUCAAUGUGGAGAGAAGGACUAUUGAUUCAAUUACAUAAUAUGGGUAUUGGUGGAAGAAUGUAUAACUGGAUUUUAGACUUAUCAAAUCGGACAUUUCGUGUUAAAGUUGAAGAUGAUGUUUCAAAUGACUUUAAUAUAGUAAAUGGUAUUCCACAAGGUAGUGCUAUUAGACCAGUUCUGUUUAACAUCAUGAUAAAUUACAUCUUUGAGAAUGCUGGUAAAGGUAUUGGGUAUUCAUUAUAUGCAGAUGAUGGGGCUAUAUGGAAAAGAGGGAAACAUAUUAGACAUAUGAUUAAUAAUAUUCAGAAUGCUAUAAUUAGAAUUGAAAGAUGGACAUAUGACUGGGGAUUUAAGAUGUCAGUUGCUAAAUCAUGUUACAUGCUCUUUACCAGGAAAAGAAAGUUAGGAAAUAUACAGCUUAAACUAUAUGGUCAAAGUAUGGAAAGGGUAACAAAGUUCAAAUAUUUAGGAUUAUGGUUUGAUGAGAAAUAUCUACGGGAAGACACAUGUUAAACAGAUUGAAACUAAAUGUAUUAAAGUACUAAAUCUUAUGAGAUCAGUUUCGGGAUAUGAUUGGGGGGCAGAUAAACAGUCAUUACUAGAUAUAUACAGGGCCUUAAUAAGAUCAUGUAUAGAUUAUGGGUGUAUGGUAUAUGGAGCGGCAGCUAAGAGUGUCCUGGAAAAAUCUAGACAGAAUACAGUUCAAAGAUCUUAGACUUAGUAUUGGUGCUAUUAAAACAACUUCUACUAAUGCCCCAGACAGCAGUUGACUCUGUGCCGGAUCCGUUUUCAAACCGGCAAAUCCGUAUUACAGUCACAUCCGUUUCAGUGCUGUAACACGGAUCCAGCCCGGGCCCGGUUUCAGUGGGCGGGAACUACUGUCGCAGAGCAGAUCCGGGCCGCGUCCGAAACGAGCGCCUGUUCAGAACAGAAGACGUCAAAGAUAUUUGCUUAGAUCAAAGCAAUAAAUUGUAUUUUGAAGUAAAUUAAAAUAGAAAACCAUUAUUUUAAAUUGUAAUACUUCUAAAUAUUACAUUUUUUUCCUGUAUUUUUGAUCAAAUAAAUGCUGGCUUGAUUAUCAUUUUGCGGAAAGAGUAAAAAAAAUGUGUUGUAAUAUACUGUUUCAGUAUCUUAGAGAAACCAAUUUAAGUGGAAGGAUAUAGUUUUUUUUAAACAAUGCUUACACACAACAUUCUGGUCCACACUCAUACCAGAUGGUGGCGGUAAUGCACCAAAAAGUUGUUUGCCAACCGCCAAUAAACCUUAAUAGAAGAAGAAGACAUCAAGAAGAUCGAGGCAGACGGACUGCACGCUGUUAAAACUUCACUGAGAUCGGUGUUGGACCGGCGAACACUUAGGCCUAUGUUAUCAGAGGACUUGCUAACAUGAAGAAAACGGUCCAGAGGUUCCACCUGAGAGCCGG